UACGGGGGGAGCAAGCGUUGUUCGGAUUUACUGGGCGUAAAGGGCGCGUAGGCGGCGCAACAAGUCACUUGUGAAAUCUCCGGGCUUAACUCGGAAAGGUCAACUGAUACUGUGCGACUGGAGUGCAGAAGGGGCAACUGGAAUUCUCGGUGUAGCGGUGAAAUGCGUAGAUAUCGGGAGGAACACCAGUGGCGAAGGCGGUUGCCUGGAGCUUUGCUGACGCUGAUGCGCGAAAGCGUGGGGAGCGAUCCGG
rnacentral:rRNA from 1 species